rnacentral:rRNA from 1 species
AGAACGAACGCUGGCGGCAUGCCUAAUACAUGCAAGUCGAACGAACACUUCGGUGUUAGUGGCGCACGGGUGCGUAACGCGUGGGAAUCUGCCCUUGGGUUCGGAAUAACAGUUGGAAACGACUGCUAAUACCGGAUGAUAUCGAAAGAUCAAAGAUUUAUCGCCCAGGGAUGAGCCCGCGUAGGAUUAGCUAGUUGGUGAGGUAAAGGCUCACCAAGGCGACGAUCCUUAGCUGGUCUGAGAGGAUGAUCAGCCACACUGGGACUGAGACACGGCCCAGACUCCUACGGGAGGCAGCAGUAGGGAAUAUUGGACAAUGGGCGCAAGCCUGAUCCAGCAAUGCCGCGUGAGUGAUGAAGGCCUUAGGGUGUAAAGCUCUUUACCCGAGAUGAUAAUGACAGUAUCGGAGAAUAAGCCCCGGCUAACCGUCCGUGCCAGCCAGCCGCGGU